CUCCUCCAGCUGUUGUCUCCAGAGUGGAAGUUGAGCUGAAAGAGUCACCACCUUAGAAGGAAAGGGGACACAUAAUGAUAGCAGGACCUCAAUCUAGAUCCGUGAGAAGACCCUGAAGAACUUCCCAAGGGAAAAAAACUUGGAUUUAUUUUUUUACUCUGCAGUCCUUUCCUGACAUGGCUUGGGAGAACGCUACCCUCCUGGAGAACCUGUUCGCCGUCCCGGUCUGCGAUGGCUGGAGCAACAACACUGAGGGAGCCCUUUACCAUCUGGGCAACACUAUCCUCUUCCUGGGCUACAUGGGUGGCAGUGGGGCCUACGGGUGCCUCUUCAUCUUCGGGCUCCUGGCACCUUCCUUCCUGUGCCUGACUCUGUGGGGCUGGAUGACUAUAUGCAGCCCUGACGUGGUCACCUGGAACUUCUUGCUGCUAUUGGCCUGCGUGAUCCAGAUCUGCCACCUGCUGUACCGCCUGCACCAGGAGGGUCUACCCAGUGAGGAGGUAGCAGCCCUCUACCAGACUGUCUACCUCCCAUUGGGCGUGCCUGUCCAGGUCUUUAAGGAGAUUGCGGGUGCCUUUGAGAACAAGGUGCUCGAAAUGAAGGCGGGCGAGACAUACGCCGUGGAGGGCAAGACACCCAUCGAGAGGCUCUCCUUUUUGCUGUCUGGCAGGAUCAACGUAUCUCUGGAGGGUCAGUUCCUGCACUACAUCCACCGACACCAGUUCCUUGACUCGCCCGAGUGGGAGUCCCUGCGGCCCAAUGAAGACGGAAAGUUCCAGGUUACUUUGACGGCGGAGGAGGACUGUCGCUACGUGUCGUGGCGCCGCCGGCGCCUCUUCUCCCUCAUGUCCAAGGAACGUUACGUGUGCCGCCUGUUCGCUGUCAUGCUUGGCUACGACAUCGCAGAGAAGCUGUACAACCUCAACAACAAGCUGUAUAUCAAGAGCGGAGUCCUGCUGGACAUCCGCCUUCCCAGCCUCUACCACGUCCUGGCUCCUUCAUCGCAGAGCAGCGAGGGCGGGCCCCCCGAUCGGGCGGACCGCCCCCUCUGCCUGGAGUCGGACCCGGACCUGGCACACGAGGCUAAGACCCCUGUCGGACAGCCGUGGCCGUCGGACCCGGAGCUGCCUUCUGGUGAGGACUCCACCAGCCUGGUCCUGGAGGACUUUGCUGACGUGGCGGGAUCCUUAACAGACUAUGGCAGUGAGAGGGAUUAUUUGAGGUAGAGGGGGUGCAAGGGGGUCCGGAGCUAACACACUGGCUCACCCGCUUAAGAUACAUGGGGCGCCAUGGCUGGAGGAGCAGCUCGCUUCCAGAGGAGUCGAGCGCCGCUAGCUCCCACCGACACUCCCAAACUCUGACAACGCCAUUUUGUCUUUUGACUUAUUUUAAGACUUUCACUAUUCGGACCACAUUUUUUUUGGUUCUGUUCAGAAAUUAGAGAAAUGAAGUGCUUCCUCUGUAAAUAAGUUAAAAAUGUGUUGAUGCAAUUAGCCAUUAGCAUGUUUUUAACUAUUAAUAUUGAAUAUACACCAAUAUAAUGUGAAAUUAUCCAAUUAUGGUUGAUUUAUUACCACAAGGGGCCAACUGUUCUCCAUAAAGCUU